UCUUUUUCGUGCGGCUGAAACGCCGCUUGUCCCUUUAAGAAGUUCAAGUUAAGUGUGGACCGUGAAGGUACACACUAAACUAGUUAAUAAGUUAGAGUCUCGUUCGUUAU
rnacentral:rRNA from 1 species